UGGGGAAUCUUCCGCAAUGGACGAAAGUCUGACGGAGCAACGCCGCGUGAGUGAAGAAGGCCUCGGGUUGUAAAGCUCUGUUAUCAGGGAAGCGGUACCUAAGGAGGAAGCCACGGCUAACUACGUGCCAGCAGCCGCGGUAAUACGUAGGUGGCAAGCGUUGUCCGGAAUUAUUGGGCGUAAAGAGCGUGUAGGUGGGAUGAUAAGUCUAUCUUAAAAGUGCGGGGCUCAACCCCGUGAUGGGAUGGAAACUAUCAUUCUUGAGUGCAGGAGAGGAAAGCGGAAUUCCCAGUGUAGCGGUGAAAUGCGUAGAUAUUGGGAGGAACACCAGUGGCGAAGGCGGCUUCUGGACUGUGUCUGACACUGAGGCGCGAAAGCCGGGUAGUGAACGGGAUUAGAUACCCGAGUAGU
rnacentral:rRNA from 1 species